rnacentral:rRNA from 1 species
UACGUAGGGUCCGAGCGUUGUCCGGAAUUACUGGGCGUAAAGAGCUCGUAGGUGGUUUGUCGCGUUGUUCGUGAAAACUCACAGCUUAACUGUGGGCGUGCGGUCGAUACGGGCAGGCUAGAGUUCGGUAGGGGAGACUGGAAUUCCUGGUGUAGCGGUGAAAUGCGCAGAUAUCAGGAGGAACACCGGUGGCGAAGGCGGGGUCUCUGGGCCGAUACUGACGCUGAGGAGCGAAAGCGUGGGGAGCGAACAGG